rnacentral:rRNA from 1 species
UGUCUCAAAGAUUAAGCCAUGCAUGUCUAAGUAUAAGCAAUUAUACAGCGAAACUGCGAAUGGCUCAUUAUAUAAGUUAUCGUUUAUUUGAUAGUACCUUACUACUUGGAUAACCGUGGUAAUUCUAGAGCUAAUACAUGCUAAAAAUCCCGACUUCGGAAGGGAUGUAUUUAUUAGAUUAAAAACCAAUGCCCUCUGGGCUCUCUGGUGAUUCAUGAUAACUUCUCGAAUCGCAUGGCCUUGCGCCGGCGAUGGUUCAUUCAAAUUUCUUCCCUAUCAACUUUCGAUGUUUGGGUAGUGGCCAAACAUGGUUGCAACGGGUAACGGAGGGUUAGGGCUCGACCCCGGAGAAGGAGCCUGAGAAACGGCUACUACAUCCAAGGAAGGCAGCAGGCGCGCAAAUUACCCAAUCCCGAUUCGGGGAGGUAGUGACAAUAAAUACUGAUACAGGGCUCUUUUGGGUCUUGUAAUUGGAAUGAGUACAAUUUAAAUCCCUUAACGAGGAACAAUUGGAGGGCAAGUCUGGUGCCAGCAGCCGCGGUAAUUCCAGCUCCAAUAGCGUAUAUUAAAGUUGUUGUGGUUAAAAAGCUCGUAGUUGAACCUUGGGCCUGGUUGGCCGGUCCGCCUCACCGCGUGUACUGGUCCGGCCGGGCCUUUCCCUCUGUGGAACCCCAUGCCCUUCACUGGGUGUGGCGGGGAAACAGGACUUUUACUUUGAAAAAAUUAGAGUGCUCCAGGCAGGCCUAUGCUCGAAUACAUUAGCAUGGAAUAAUAAAAUAGGACGUGCGGUUCUAUUUUGUUGGUUUCUAGGACCGCCGUAAUGAUUAAUAGGGACAGUCGGGGGCAUCAGUAUUCAAUUGUCAGAGGUGAAAUUCUUGGAUUUAUUGAAGACUAACUACUGCGAAAGCAUUUGCCAAGGAUGUUUUCAUUAAUCAGGAACGAAAGUUAGGGGAUCGAAGACGAUCAGAUACCGUCGUAGUCUUAACCAUAAACUAUGCCGACUAGGGAUCGGACGAUGUUAUUUUUUGACUCGUUCGGCACCUUACGAGAAAUCAAAGUGCUGGCUCCAGGGG